AGUAAAGCUGCUAUGAAUUCCCAGCAAUGAGAAUUUUCCUCAAAGCUUCAUUGUCUAAACUCUGAACCUCAUCAUAACCUCAGUUCUGCCUAGCUCCAUAACUAACAGGUUUCACAAUUUGAUGUCCUCUUGCUGUGCUGACCCACUUGGAACUGAUCACUCAGGCUUUCUGUGGCUCAAGCUUUGUACGUAUUCCCAGAAAUUUGGCAAACCUUCUUAGGGGAAGCCUCUGGAAAAUGUCUUUUGUCCUCAGGCCAUUCAGCAAGAUCCUAGAAUCUGGGGAUCAGAGACUACAACCCGGAAGGGACCAGGCUCAGAACCCUGUGGGGUACUAGGCAGGAGGCUCUGACAUUCUGCCACCAACACACAGGAAGCAAACAAGUUUUUUUCUACUGGUGUUGGUGUACUUUGUGCUCAGAGAAUAGAAUAUCCCAGGGGAGUGUCAAACCAUGAGAAAAGGAAAG